rnacentral:rRNA from 1 species
CAAGCCUGAUCCAGCCAUGCCGCGUGGGUGAAGAAGGCCUUCGGGUUGUAAAGCCCUUUUGUUGGGAAAGAAAAGCAGCCGGCCAAUACCCGGUUGUUCUGACGGUAUCCGGAGAAGAAGCCCCGGCUAACUUCGUGCCAGCAGCCGCGGUAAUACGAAGGGGGCUAGCGUAGUUCGGAAUUACUGGGCGUAAAGCGCACGUAGGCGGGCAUUUAAGUCAGGGGUGAAAUCCCAGAGCUCAACUCUGGAACUGCCUUUGAUACUGGGUGUCUUGAGUAUGGAAGAGGUAAGUGGAAUUCCGAGUGUAGAGGUGAAAUUCGUAGAUAUUCGGAGGAACACCAGUGGCGAAGGCGGCUUACUGGUCCAUUACUGACGCUGAGGUGCGAAAGCGUGGGGAGCAAACA